UACGGAGGGUGCAAGCGUUGUUCGGAAUUACUGGGCGUAAAGGGCGCGUAGGCGGUGCAGUAAGUCAGAUGUGAAAGCCCUGGGCUCAACCCAGGAAGUGCAUUUGAAACUGCUGUACUUGAGUAUGGGAGAGGAGAGUGGAAUUCCCAGUGUAGAGGUGAAAUUCGUAGAUAUUGGGAGGAACACCCGUGGCGAAGGCGACUCUCUGGACCAAUACUGACGCUGAGGCGCGAAAGCGUGGGGAGCAAACAGG
rnacentral:rRNA from 1 species